rnacentral:rRNA from 1 species
UGGGGAAUAUUGGACAAUGGGCGAAAGCCUGAUCCAGCCAUGCCGCGUGUGUGAAGAAGGUCUUCGGAUUGUAAAGCACUUUAAGUUGGGAGGAAGGGCAGUAAGCGAAUACCUUGCUGUUUUGACGUUACCGACAGAAUAAGCACCGGCUAACUCUGUGCCAGCAGCCGCGGUAAUACAGAGGGUGCAAGCGUUAAUCGGAAUUACUGGGCGUAAAGCGCGCGUAGGUGGUUCGUUAAGUUGAAUGUGAAAGCCCCGGGCUCAACCUGGGAACUGCAUCCGAAACUGGCGAGCUAGAGUAGGGCAGAGGGUGGUGGAAUUUCCUGUGUAGCGGUGAAAUGCGUAGAUAUAGGAAGGAACACCAGUGGCGAAGGCGACCACCUGGGCUCAUACUGACACUGAGGUGCGAAAGCGUGGGGAGCAAACAGG